rnacentral:rRNA from 1 species
GAUCCUGGCUCAGGACGAACGCUGGCGGCGCGCCUAACACAUGCAAGUCGAACGAGAGAGAGGAAGCUUGCUUCCUCGAUCGAGUGGCGAACGGGUGAGUAACGCGUGAGGAACCUGCCUCAAAGAGGGGGACAACAGUUGGAAACGACUGCUAAUACCGCAUAAGCCCACAGCUCGGCAUCGAGCAGAGGGAAAAGGAGCAAUCCGCUUUGAGAUGGCCUCGCGUCCGAUUAG